GGAGCGUGCGGUUUAAUUGGAUUCAACACCGGAAAACUCACCAGGAGCGACGGUUACAUGAAAGUCAGGCUGAUGACCUUACUCGAUUUUCCGAGAGGUGGUGCAUGGCCGUCGUCAGUUCGUACCGUAAGGCGUUCUCUUAAGUGAGAUAACGAACGAGACCCUCACUAAUAGUUGCUACUCCAUCCUCCGGGGUGGAGGCACACUAUUGGGACCGCUGGCGCUAAGUCAGAGGAAGGAGAGGUCAACGGUAGGUCAGUAUGCCCCGAAUCUCCUGGGCUACACGCGCGCUACAAAGGGCGGGACAAUGGGCUCCGACGCCGAGAGGCGAAGGUAAUCUCGAAACCCGUCCGUAGUUCGGAUUGAGGGUUGUAACUCACCCUCAUGAAGCUGGAUUCCGUAGUAAUCGCGAAUCAACAAUUCGCGGUGAAUAUGCCCCUGCUCCUUGCACACACCGCCCGUCAAACCACCCGAGUUGGGUUUCAGUGAGGCUGCCCUUUUAUGGGGUUGUCGAACUGAGAUUUAGCAAGGAGGGUUAAGUCGUAACAAGGUAUCUG
rnacentral:rRNA from 1 species